rnacentral:rRNA from 1 species
AACGAACGCUGGCGGCAUGCCUAACACAUGCAAGUCGAACGAGAUCUUCGGAUCUAGUGGCGCACGGGUGCGUAACGCGUGGGAAUCUGCCCUGGGGUUCGGAAUAACAGUGAGAAAUUACUGCUAAUACCGGAUGAUGUCUUCGGACCAAAGAUUUAUUGCCCAGGGAUGAGCCCGCGGAGGAUUAGCUAGGUGGUGGGGUCAUGGCCUACCAAGGCGACGUUCCUUAGUUGGGCUGAGAGGAUGGUCAACCAGACUGGCACUGUGACACGGCCGACACUCGUAGGGGAAGCAGCAGUGGGGAAUAUUGGACAAUGGGCGAAGGCCUGAUCCAGCAAUGCCACGUGAGUGAUGAAGGCCUUAGGGUUGAAAAGCUCUUUUACCAGGGAUGAUAAUGACAGUACCUGGAGAAUAAGCUCCGGCUAACUCCGUGCCAGCCGCCGCAGUAA